rnacentral:rRNA from 1 species
AACCCGGUGAUCUAGCCAUGGGCAGGUUGAAGGUUGGGUAACACUAACUGGAGGACCGAACCGACUAAUGUUGAAAAAUUAGCGGAUGACUUGUGGCUGGGGGGGAAAGGCCAAUCAAACCGGGAGAUAGCUGGUUCUCCCCGAAAGCUAUUUAGGUAGCGCCUCGUGAACUCAUCUCCGGGGGUAGAGCACUGUUUCGGCAAGGGGGUCAUCCCGACUUACCAACCCGAUGCAAACUGCGAAUACCGGAGAAUGUUAUCACGGGAGACACACGGCGGGUGCUAACGUCCGUCGUGAAGAGGGAAACAACCCAGACCGCCAGCUAAGGUCCCAAAGUCAUGGUUAAGUGGGAAACGAUGUGGGAAGGCCCAGACAGCCAGGAUGUUGGCUUAGAAGCAGCCAUCAUUUAAAGAAAGCGUAAUAGCUCACUGGUCGAGUCGGCCUGCGCGGAAGAUGUAACGGGGCUAAACCAUGCACCGAAGCUGCGGCAGCGACGCUUAUGCGUUGUUGGGUAGGGGAGCGUUCUGUAAGCCUGUGAAGGUGUGCUGUGAGGCAUGCUGGAGGUAUCAGAAGUGCGAAUGCUGACAUAAGUAACGAUAAAGCGGGUGAAAAGCCCGCUCGCCGGAAGACCAAGGGUUCCUGUCCAACGUUAAUCGGGGCAGGGUGAGUCGACCCCUAAGGCGAGGCCGAAAGGCGUAGUCGAUGGGAAACAGGUUAAUAUUCCUGUACUUGGUGUUACUGCGAAGGGGGGACGGAGAAGGCUAUGUUGGCCGGGCGACGGUUGUCCCGGUUUAAGCGUGUAGGCUGGUUUUCCAGGCAAAUCCGGAAAAUCAAGGCUGAGGCGUGAUGACGAGGCACUACGGUGCUGAAGCAACAAAUGCCCUGCUUCCAGGAAAAGCCUCUAAGCAUCAGGUAACAUCAAAUCGUACCCCAAACCGACACAGGUGGUCAGGUAGAGAAUACCAAGGCGCUUGAGAGAACUCGGGUGAAGGAACUAGGCAAAAUGGUGCCGUAACUUCGGGAGAAGGCACGCUGAUAUGUAGGUGAAGUCCCUCGCGGAUGGAGCUGAAAUCAGUCGAAGAUACCAGCUGGCUGCAACUGUUUAUUAAAAACACAGCACUGUGCAAACACGAAAGUGGACGUAUACGGUGUGACGCCUGCCCGGUGCCGGAAGGUUAAUUGAUGGGGUCAGCGCAAGCGAAGCUCUUGAUCGAAGCCCCGGUAAACGGCGGCCGUAACUAUAACGGUCCUAAGGUAGCGAAAUUCCUUGUCGGGUAAGUUCCGACCUGCACGAAUGGCGUAAUGAUGGCCAGGCUGUCUCCACCCGAGACUCAGUGAAAUUGAACUCGCUGUGAAGAUGCAGUGUACCCGCGGCAAGACGGAAAGACCCCGUGAACCUUUACUAUAGCUUGACACUGAACAUUGAGCCUUGAUGUGUAGGAUAGGUGGGAGGCUUAGAAGUGUGGACGCCAGUCUGCAUGGAGCCGACCUUGAAAUACCACCCUUUAAUGUUUGAUGUUCUAACGUUGACCCGUAAUCCGGGUUGCGGACAGUGUCUGGUGGGUAGUUUGACUGGGGCGGUCUCCUCCUAAAGAGUAACGGAGGAGCACGAAGGUUGGCUAAUCCUGGUCGGACAUCAGGAGGUUAGUGCAAUGGCAUAAGCCAGCUUGACUGCGAGCGUGACGGCGCGAGCAGGUGCGAAAGCAGGUCAUAGUGAUCCGGUGGUUCUGAAUGGAAGGGCCAUCGCUCAACGGAUAAAAGGUACUCCGGGGAUAACAGGCUGAUACCGCCCAAGAGUUCAUAUCGACGGCGGUGUUUGGCACCUCGAUGUCGGCUCAUCACAUCCUGGGGCUGAAGUAGGUCCCAAGGGUAUGGCUGUUCGCCAUUUAAAGUGGUACGCGAGCUGGGUUUAGAACGUCGUGAGACAGUUCGGUCCCUAUCUGCCGUGGGCGCUGGAGAACUGAGGGGGGCUGCUCCUAGUACGAGAGGACCGGAGUGGACGCAUCACUGGUGUUCGGGUUGUCAUGCCAAUGGCACUGCCCGGUAGCUAAAUGCGGAAGAGAUAAGUGCUGAAAGCAUCUAAGCACGAAACUUGCCCCGAGAUGAGUUCUCCCUGACUCCUUGAGAGUCCUGAAGGAACGUUGAAGACGACGACGUUGAUAGGCCGGGUGUGUAAGCGCAGCGAUGCGUUGAGCUAACCGGUACUAAUGAACCGUGAGGCUUAACCUU